CAACUUUCAGCAACGGAUCUCUUGGCUCUCGCAUCGAUGAAGAACGCAGCGAAAUGCGAUAAGUAAUGUGAAUUGCAGAAUUCAGUGAAUCAUCGAAUCUUUGAACGCACCUUGCGCUCCUUGGUAUUCCGAGGAGCAUGCCUGUUUGAGUGU
rnacentral:rRNA from 4 species